rnacentral:rRNA from 1 species
CGGCGUGCUUAACACAUGCAAGUCGCACGAGAACACCUCAGCUUGCUGGGGUAAGUAAAGUGGCGCACGGGUGAGUAACGCGUGGGUAAUCUGUCCUUGAAUUCGGGAUAACCCCGCGAAAGCGGGGCUAAUACCGAAUGACAUCAAAAAGGCUUUGGCUUUUUUGAUUAAAGGUGGCCUCUCCAUGGAAGCUACCGUUUGAGGGUGAGCCCGCGUACCAUUAGCUUGUUGGUAGGGUAACGGCCUACCAAGGCGACGAUGGUUAGCUGGUCUGAGAGGAUGAUCAGCCACACUGGAACUGACACACGGUCCAGACUCCUACGGGAGGCAGCAGUGAGGAAUUUUGCGCAAUGGGGGAAACCCUGACGCAGCAACGCCGCGUGAGUGAUGAAGGCCUUCGGGUCGUAAAGCUCUGUCAUGUGGGAAGAACCCAUCCCAACCCAACACGUUGGGGUGCUGACGGUACCACAGAAGGAAGCACCGGCUAACUCCGUGCCAGCAGCCGCGGUAAUACGGAGGGUGCAAGCGUUAUUCGGAAUUAUUGGGCGUAAAGGGCGCGUAGGCGGCCCGGCAAGUCAGAUGUGAAAUCCCGGGGCUUAACCCCGGAAGUGCAUUUGAAACUGCCUGGCUUGAGUAUGGGAGAGGGAAGUGGAAUUCCUGGUGUAGCGGUGAAAUGCGUAGAUAUCAGGAGGAACACCGGUGGCGAAGGCGGCUUCCUGGACCAAUACUGACGCUGAGGCGCGAAGGCGUGGGGAGCAAACAGGAUUAGAUACCCUGGUAGUCCACGCAGUAAACGGUGAUCACUAGGUGUAGCGGGUAUUGACCCCUGCUGUGCCGGAGUUAACGCAUUACGUGAUCCGCCUGGGGAGUGCGGCGGCAAGGGUAGAACUCGAAGGAAUUGACGGGGGCCCGGCACAAGCGGUGGAGCAUGUGGUUGAAGUGGACGCAACGCGAAGAACCUGACCUAGGGGGGACAUCUCGGGAAUCCCGCGGAAACGCGGGAGUGCCCUUCGGGGAGCCCGAAGACAGGUGCGGCAUGGCGGUCGUCAGCUCGUGUCGUGAGAUGUUGGGUUAAGUCCGGCAACGAGCGCAACCCCGAUCGUCAGUUACCAGCAUUUCGGAUGGGGACUCUGGAGAUACUGCCCCGGUCAACGGGGAGGAAGGUGGGGAUGACGUCAAGUCCUCAUGGCCCUUAUGCCUAGGGCUACACACGUGCUACAAUGGGCGGUACAGAGGGUAGCGACCCUGUGAGGGUGAGCCAAUCUCAAAAAGCCGUCCCAAGUUCGGAUUGGAGUCUGCAACUCGACUCCAUGAAGCUGGAAUCGCUAGUAAUCGCGGAUCAGCAUGCCGCGGUGAUACGUUCCCGGGCCUUGUACACACCGCCCGUCACACCAUGAGAGUUGGUUGUACCAGAAGUCGUCGGGCCAACCACGCUUCGGCGUGGGGGCAGGCGCCUAAG